rnacentral:rRNA from 1 species
UACAGAGGUCUCAAGCGUUGUUCGGAUUCAUUGGGCGUAAAGGGUGCGUAGGCGGCGCGGUAAGUCGGGUGUGAAAUCUUGGAGCUUAACUCCGAAACUGCAUUCGAUACUGCCGUGCUUGAGGACUGGAGAGGAGACUGGAAUUUACGGUGUAGCGGUGAAAUGCGUAGAUAUCGUAAGGAAGACCAGUGGCGAAGACGGGUCUCUGGACAGUUCCUGACGCUGAGGCACGAAGGCCAGGGGAGCAAACGGG